AGAUUUAUAUGAGGAAUUGCUUAACAAGUCGGUGGCAGGAAUGGUUUCCAACAAUAAUAAGUGGAGAUGGGAUGUUUUUGCACACCUUUUACCAAUGAAUAUUGUGAUGACUCUAGCUAGCUAUCCCCCUCCAAAUAGGGAGCCGAAUGAGGACCAGCUCUCUUGGAGCCUUUCCAUGAAUGCUUGGAGGAGCCAACCA